UAAGGAAUAUUGGUCAAUGGACGCAAGUCUGAACCAGCCAUGCCGCGUGGAGGAUGAAGGUCCUCUGGAUUGUAAACUUCUUUUAUCUGGGACGAAACACUUCUUUUCUAAGAGGCCUGACGGUACCAGAUGAAUAAGCACCGGCUAACUCCGUGCCAGCAGCCGCGGUAAUACGGAGGGUGCAAGCGUUAUCCGGAUUCACUGGGUUUAAAGGGUGCGUAGGUGGGUAUGUAAGUCAGUGGUGAAAUCCCCGAGCUUAACUUGGGAACUGACAUUGAUACUAUACAUCUUGAAUACCGUAGAGGUAAGCGGAAUAUGUCAUGUAGCGGUGAAAUGCUUAGAUAUGACAUGGAACACCAAUUGCGAAGGCAGCUUACUAUGCGGUGAUUGACACUGAGGCACGAAAGCGUGGGUAGCAAACA
rnacentral:rRNA from 1 species